AUGACCUGUGCUGUUUCAUUUCUUCUGCGCUUUCCCCGGGGAUCCAACAGACCCCUGUGGAGUUCCAGUCCUGGGACUGCCUCCUGCUUGCUUUCCCGCAAGCGUCAGAGCAGGGAAGGGGUUGAAGGGGAUAGAAGACGGGAAUCAACCCUCGUUACUCCUCCGAACGAUGUCACCCUUGACACUGGCUUCAUAUCCAUGUUGGCUGUAACCUGGAACACAACUUUUGGGAAACAAGCAAGGAUUAAUGAUAGGACUUAUUUCAAGACUCACACACAAGCAGAAGUAAGCAUGGAUCAUGAUGUUUAACUGCUACCAUAACGAGAAGUUGAAGAAGACAAUCAAACCUAGGAAACAGAUCCGGUUUUUCUUAGGUCUGAUGAUUAACUGGUGUGAAGUAUCAUUGAUGAUGUUGUUUUACUCCUAGGUGAUAAAAAUAAUCUUGGUUUGUACUUUCUCAGCAGAGAGUCUCUGGAGAAAACAGUUAUUAAUGCAAAGGAGUUACAUUAUUUUCUUUCAUGUGUAAAAGGGAUGAGUAGGACAGUUUGCUGGCAGGUAUGCCCAGGCUUGGAAAGAUUCAUGCUAGUGGAAUAAUGGGGGAUUCAGGAUUGAAACAGAGUGGAUAUUAUAAAAGGUUCAAGUUUUCACAUGUCAUUAACAAAACAGCUAUUGUAUGUGUUCAGUUUCCACAGUUCUUUUCUCCCACACUCCAGCUAUUUUGGGCUGAUAACAGUUAACUGAAA
rnacentral:lncRNA from 1 species